UUUUGUGUGUCCUAAAAUUUUUGUCGACUCAAAUUUUUUGUUUUGUUCAAGAAACUUAACUUCUCAAACAUGUGCGACCCUUGCUGUGGACCUUGCGGCUCUUGCUGCGGCCCCUGCUGCGGAUCCUGCGGCCCUUGCUGGGGACCCAGCCACCGACCUUGCAGACCCCGCUGCGGACCUUCCGGACCCUGCUGCUACCCUUGUAGAAAUGGCGGACCCUGCUGUUGUGGCCCCAGCGGACGGGCUAACGGACUCUGCGACUAAUUUCUAUUGAUCGCAAACCACGAACAUUAAUUUGAGACGGCAAUAAAACAAUAGCUUAGACCACCAGAGCCCACCAAA